rnacentral:rRNA from 1 species
UAUUUAAGGUUUGGUCUGCUCAAUGAGGAUUUAAAUUGCCGCGGUAUUUUGACCGUGCAAAGGUAGCAUAAUAAUUAGUUUUUUUAUUGAAAGCUGGAAUGAAGGAUUGGACGAGAAAAUUACUGUCUCUGAGGAAUUUAUUUUUUAAUUUAACUUUCAAGUUAAAAGGCUUGGAUUUUACUUAAAGACGAGAAGACCCUAUAGAGUUUUAUAUCUAUUUUAGUUAAGAGUUUUUGGUUAUUAAAUUUCUUUACUGUUUUAGUUAUUUAGUUGGGGUGACUUGAAGAUUUAAUAAACUCUUUAUUUUUUUAUCAUUGAUUUGUGAAUGUAUAAUCUAAUUUUUUUAAAUUUAAAAUAAAUUACCUUAGGGAUAACAGCGUAAUUUCUUUUUAGAGUUCUUAUUGAAGGAAAAGUUUGCGACCUCGAUGUUGGAUUAAAAUUAAUUUUGGGUGUAGAAGCUUGAAAAUUGGGUCUGUUCGACCUUUGAAAUUUUACAUGAUCUGAGU